rnacentral:rRNA from 1 species
AUUGAACGCUGGCGGCAGGCCUAACACAUGCAAGUCGAGCGGGGUUUUCGGACCUAGCGGCGGACGGGUGAGUAAUGCGUAGGAAGCUACCCGAUAGAGGGGGAUACCAGUUGGAAACGACUGUUAAUACCGCAUAAUGUCUACGGACCAAAGUGUGGGACCUUCGGGCCACAUGCUAUCGGAUGCGCCUACGUGGGAUUAGCUAGUUGGUGAGGUAAUGGCUCACCAAGGCGACGAUCCCUAGCUGGUUUGAGAGGAUGAUCAGCCACACUGGAACUGAGACACGGUCCAGACUCCUACGGGAGGCAGCAGUGGGGAAUAUUGGACAAUGGGCGCAAGCCUGAUCCAGCCAUGCCGCGUGUGUGAAGAAGGCCUUCGGGUUGUAAAGCACUUUCAGUAGGGAGGAAGCGUUGUGUGUUAAUAGUACACAGCGUUGACGUUACCUACAGAAGAAGCACCGGCUAACUCUGUGCCAGCCGCCGCAGUAACAC